UACGUAGGUGGCAAGCGUUGUUCGGAAUCACUGGGCAUAAAGCGCACGUAGGCGGUCUGUUAAGUCAGGUGUGAAAGCCCCCGGCUCAACCGGGGAAUUGCAUUUGAUACUGGCAGGCUCGAGAACGGUAGGGGUGAGUGGAACUCCAGGUGGAGCGGUGAAAUGCGUAGAUAUCUGGAGGAACACCGGUGGCGAAAGCGGCUCACUGGACCGUCACUGACGCUGAGGUGCGAAAGCGUGGGUAGCAAACGGG
rnacentral:rRNA from 1 species